rnacentral:tRNA from 1 species
GGAGAGAUGGCUGAGCUGGUCGAAGGCGCUCGACUCGAAAUCGAGUAGGCGGUAACCCCGUCUCCAGGGUUCGAAUCCCUGUCUCUCCGCCA